rnacentral:rRNA from 1 species
GUAGGUGGCAAGCGUCGUCCGGGAAUUAUUGGGGCGUAAAGCGCGCGCAGGCGGUUCUUUAAGUCUGAUGUGAAAGCCCACGGGCUCAACCGUGGAGGGUCAUUGGAAACUGGAGAACUUGAGUACAGAAGAGGAAAGCGGAAUUCCACGUGUAGCGGUGAAAUGCGUAGAGAUGUGGAGGAACACCAGUGGCGAAGGCGGCUUUCUGGUCUGUAACUGACGCUGAGGCGCGAAAGCGUGGGGAGCAAACAGGAUUAGAUACCCUGGUAGUCCACGCCGUAAACGAUGAGUGCUAAGUGUUAGGGGGUUUCCGCCCCUUAGUGCUGCAGCUAACGCAUUAAGCACUCCGCCUGGGGAGUACGGCCGCAAAGGCUGA